AGUGAACGCUGGCGGUAGGCCUAACACAUGCAAGUCGAACGGCAGCACAGUAAGAGCUUGCUCUUACGGGUGGCGAGUGGCGGACGGGUGAGGAAUACAUCGGAAUCUACUUUUUCGUGGGGGAUAACGUAGGGAAACUUACGCUAAUACCGCAUACGACCUACGGGUGGAAGCAGGGGAUCUUCGGACCUUGCGCGAUUGAAUGAGCCGAUGUCGGAUUAGCUAGUUGGCGGGGUAAAGGCCCACCAAGGCGACGAUCCGUAGCUGGUCUGAGAGGAUGAUCAGCCACACUGGAACUGAGACACGGUCCAGACUCCUACGGGAGGCAGCAGUGGGGAAUAUUGGACAAUGGGCGCAAGCCUGAUCCAGCCAUACCGCGUGGGUGAAGAAGGCCUUCGGGUUGUAAAGCCCUUUUGUUUGGAAAGAAAAGCAGCAGGUUAAUACCCCGCUGUUCUGACGGUACCCAAAGAAUAAGCACCGGCUAACUUCGUG
rnacentral:rRNA from 1 species